rnacentral:rRNA from 1 species
AUUGAACGCUGGCGGCAGGCUUAACACAUGCAAGUCGAGCGGGGGAAGAUAGCUUGCUACCGGACCUAGCGGCGGACGGGUGAGUAAUGCUUAGGAAUCUGCCUAUUAGUGGGGGACAACAUCUCGAAAGGGAUGCUAAUACCGCAUACGUCCUACGGGAGAAAGCAGGGGAGCUUCGGACCUUGCGCUAAUAGAUGAGCCUAAGUCGGAUUAGCUAGGUGGUGGGGUAAAGGCCUACCAAGGCGACGAUCUGCAGCGGGUCUGAGAGGAUGAUCCGCCACACUGGGACUGAGACACGGCCCAGACUCCUACGGGAGGCAGCAGUGGGGAACAUUGGACAAUGGGGGGAACCCUGAUCCAGCCAUGCCGCGUGUGUGAAGAAGGCCUUAUGGUUGUAAAGCACUUUAAGCGAGGAGGAGGCUACUCUAGUUAAUACCUAGGGAUAGUGGACGUUACUCGCAGAAUAAGCACCGGCUAACUCUGUGCCAGCCGCCGCAGUAA